rnacentral:rRNA from 1 species
UACGUAGGGGGCAAGCGUUGUCCGGAAUCAUUGGGCGUAAGGAGCGUGUAGGCGGCUUGGUAAGUCCGCUGUGAAAGUCCAGGGCUCAACCCUGGAAAGCCGGUGGAAACUGUCAAGCUUGAGUCCGGAAGAGGCGAGUGGAAUUCCUGGUGUAGCGGUGAAAUGCGCAGAUAUCAGGAGGAACACCAAUGGCGAAGGCAACUCGCUGGGACGGUACUGACGCUGAGACGCGAAAGCGUGGGGAGCAAACAGG